rnacentral:rRNA from 1 species
UACGUAGGGGGUUAGCGUUGUCCGGAUUUAUUGGGCGUAAAGAGCGUGUAGGCGGCCAGGUAGGUCUGGUGUGAAAACUCGAGGCUUAACCUCGAGAUGUCAUCGGAAACCAUUUGGCUAGAGUCCGGAAGAGGAGAGUGGAAUUCCUGGUGUAGCGGUGAAAUGCGCAGAUAUCAGGAAGAACACCAAUGGCGAAAGCAGCUCUCUGGGACGGUACUGACGCUGAGACGCGAAAGCGUGGGGAGCGAACAGG